GGUGAGAUGGCCGAGUGGUUAUGGCGGUGGUCUCAAGUGCCACUGGAGCAAUCCUCAGGGGUUCGAAUCCCCUUCUCAUCA